AUGCUUAGGCAAAGCAGGACGUCGGCUCCUUCCAUGUCUGCUGGGCUGAGGAUCCCUCACAGCCUCCCUGACCUCAGAGCCAUGAAAGACUUGCAAGGCUUGAAGCAAACUCUGAACGGACCCUUCACAGAUAAAUUCUACCAGCAUGAUUAUACACAUCGAAAUCCUCAGGGGUCAGCACUAAGUGUCUGCAUAGACGUACCCAAACACCCGGGGCCUGGCAUUCCAAUAAACCCUCUGGACAGAGCGGCAUCUCCUCUUCACACAGUGAAACUAACUGCACCUCUUCUCCUCCUGGAUGUGCAAGCGUCCACAAACAGGUAUUUUCCCCAUUUCCUGUUCGGUUCAAAGAUUAUUCCUAAAAAGCAGUCAUUGACCUGUUUUUGAUUUUUUGACUGAGAAAUGUAUUGACUAUGAACGCACAAAAUAUUUGCUGCACUGUAUACUCCUCUCUUACUGACACAAGAUCACUGGAAAAGCCAUCUCAGAAAAAAAUGGAAGAUUUCAGGAGGAGCUGGAGUGAAACAAACCCAAGGUCGUUCAGCUCGUUACAUGUUAGUUAAAUGUUACAGUUUCAUAUAUUAAAAAAAAAAACCCAGAUAUUCCCUUAAAAAAAUUAGUCUUUUCCUG
rnacentral:lncRNA from 10 species